AUUAAAGCUGGAGUAGACAAGGCACUCAGGCAUCAAGUCCACCCCAUGGACCAGGGUUAUGCUAGAGAGGUAAAUCACCCAAGUCCAAAGGAGACAGGCCAGAGUUCUUUCAAUAUCUCUCCUCAUCUUAUAGUUAUUUAACCCUUCACUGAUCAGGAUUCUCAGGUUAACACUUGCACAGCCUUCCCACUGCUUCCCCUGGUGCUGACAGUGAGAAAUGCUCAGGUUUGUUUUAUUCUCAAAUAUUUUUCAUACUUUUUCCAACAAGUUUCACAGAGUUAGUUAAAGCUAUGUGAAUUACAACUUGAAAACACUUCCUAAUAAAUACAGAAGCUAUUAUUACAACUGUUUCACAGGAAAAGGUCACAGCCAGGCAUGGGAAACAUCUCUCCUCCCGACGGCUAACGCUCACUUGCUCAUUCUCGCUCUCCCUCUCCAGUUGUAUACUACUUACUGUUUGGUCAAGCUUUGAUAAUUUGUGACCUUAAGCACAAAUCAGAUCCAACUUAUAUAAGCAGAUGUUAGAGCUGAGCUCCAAAAAGUACUGGACAUCUGUAGCGCUUGACAUUCAAGCAUUUGGCAAGAUGUCAACAUUUCAUAGAGCACUUUAAAUGUUUUGGUUUGAGAGCUAAUGCAGCAUUUCCCACUGGUGAACACAAGCAGUCCAGGCAGAAAGUAAAGUAUGUUUCCCUCAACAUCAGAUGUUCCACUCAUCUGCUGAUCCGAUCUUACCUACAGAGACCAUAAAAGACUGGAAAAAACGGCUCUCUGUUGAAGAAAUGCUUUGGCCACUUCAAGAUGACAGGCAUUCACUGGGCUAAAUUACUUCACUGAAAGGAGACUGCAUAUUACACAAGAAUUUUUUAAGAGAAAGAAUUAUGGCACACCAAUAGGAUGGUGAAAGGUGGUCCACAUAUAAGAGAAAAACAGUUCAUUGUGUGUAAUCAUACAGAAGAUGCGCUAAACAUGUUUUACUAAGAUGAAUGUAUUUCUGGGAUGUGCAUUGCUUUGUAUAUAGCACUUGAUCAACCAGCUUUCUGCUCUAAAAGAGAGCCUUGAGGUUGUAAUACUCUACAACUUAAAAACAUUUUUAAUUCAGCCUCUAAGAUCUUAGAUUGCACUAAGGAUCAUGCGCACUCAUUACCCAGAUCAGAAUGCAUCUUUGGCAUUGAUAGUCUAUCCUUGCAAAAACUUAAGUGAUAGCAAUUUAAACAUUCCUAUUGAACUUUAAUAGAUGCCUUUUAGCCUCAUUAAUCCCAUACUGCCAUGUUCUUUAAUAUGUUACCAAAGACUCCAAAGUGAUGGUAGAUAGACUAAAACAUUUCCUGCCCUUUCAUUUUCAUUUGCAGUGAAAUGAUACCUCAUUUACCUGCAUUUAUGGGGCAGUAAAGAGAACUACUUAUGAGAAGUUGAACAUUUUACACUCCUAAGUACCCCUUUUAAAAAGUUUAGCCGCUGAAAGAAAUCUUUCUUAAAUGCAGUCAAAAGAACUUAGGGAGCAUCAUUUAAUUCAUCCAUAAUGCCUCAAGGUUAACAUGAUGACAUCCACUGCAGAAAUCCAGAGAUAAUCUCAGAAAUAACUACCAUGGGCAAGGCUGGCAACACCUCCCCACCAACUGGCUCUCCAGGCUGCCUGGCUUUUCAGUUUGUAAGGUUAUCAUCACCCAGCAGUCCUUUUAUGGGCUGGGAUAAGCUGGUUACAAAGUGAAUCAACUGGGUAAGCUCUUGGGGCAGAGGAGGAAAGGUUGUUGGGCCAGAUUCUUUGUAUUCUUUUGGAUUCUUCCGAUUCUUUUUCAGAUAGUUAACUUCAGAAUAAGUAAAGGGUUAUCAUCUUUUAUCCAUUUUUACUUUUUGUAUAAAAUCAGCAUCAGUAGGUGACUUUUUCCUCCAUUUGUGAACUGAUUUGAAGUUUCUGUAGGUCCCUUUAUCAGGACAUUAAAUCAUCUCUAUACUAGAGACAGAGAGAGGAAGCAGAUAUUUCAAGGCCAAAAUGAUACAUGCCUUUUUAAAUAAUAUUGUCCUGUUUUUCAUCCAACAUAUAUUCCUGCCUUUUGGCUUCACCUGCCCUAGCUUCCUCAAGAUAGUUUCUUUUUCACACGACUAUCUGUUGUUGGUUCCAUCUGGCCCACAGAAAAGGAUGCCACAGUCUGAGACACCUAAACCCAGAGGACAGAAUGACCUUACCUUCAACACCACCACUACAGGAAGCAAUAUUUAAAAGCUCAAAAACAACUACCACGGGUGCUUGAAAUUUAUUUUUAGCUCAUUGCUCAUUCUGAGUUCCUUUAAGAUGAAGAAAUUGGCCCUACCAUGAGCAUUUGCUGUAGCAAAUCAAACAGUGGUACAGGCAGCUGUGAUACACUACCAAUUCCUCCAACCAGCAUGUCGCAGACCUCAACGUGCAAUUGCUUCAAAAAUGCCAAAACAGCAAGAAAAUGUUUGGGCAAAAGACCCAAGCAAGUCUUCACUCUGUUCCAAGAGGCAUACCUCCUCAAGGUGUUGGCAGGGCUGCAUUCCCUUCUGGAGGCUCAGGAGAACCUAUUUUCUUGUCUUUACCAGCUUUUAGAAGCUGCCACAUUCCUUGGCUCAUGGCUUCCUUCCAUCUUCAAUGCCAGCAAUGGCCGAAGGAGUCUUUCUCACAAUGCAUCCCUCGGACUUUGAUUCUGUUGUCACAUCUCCUUAUCUGACUCUGACUCUCCUGCCUCCCUCUUUCACUUAUAAAGACCUUUGUGAUUACACUGAGUCCACUUGGAUAAUCCAGGGUAAUCUCCAUAACACAAGUCAGCUGAUUAGCACCCAUAAUUCCAUCUACCGCCUUCCCCCUUGCCAAAUAAGAUAACAUACUCACAGGGGUCUAGGACUUAAAUUAUGCUCAUCUUUAAGAGCCAUUAGUCUGCCUACCACUGAAUCAGUCAACCCCUUUUAAUGAUGUGCAUUAAUGAUGUGCAUUAAAAGGGCACAGAGCAUCAGAUUCUCAGCCUCUUGAGCAAUCUGAGAGCAUAUUUCUGUACCCAUCUCAUUAGGCUAUAUGCAGACAUACUGAGAGAACAUCUUUUUAUGGGUGUCUAUAAGUAAAGGAAUUUGGCUCUUAUUAAAUCAUUUCUGAGAAUUUCUUCACUAUUUCCUCUGGGAUUACAAAUUACACAGUAUUUCUCUCCCUUCUUCAAAAUAUAUUGACAAUAUCUACAUUUUUUUCAUUUUACAUUGUCAACUCAAAGGAAUCCAACAAAUACUGAGAGCCUACCAUGCAGGGUGACUGAACAGGGCUUGUGCUCCCAGCACAAGGACCACAAAUUAAGCUUGGUGAGCAUGCAGCAGCACGUAUCCUCUUUACCUCUGUGAGACUGGCUCGGACUAAAGUGUAAAUAAUCUUCUGGAGGCAAGACACAUUAUUUAUUAGAUACAGACUAUCACGCUGGACAGCUAAACAAGUAGAAAAUGUAGCCUCCCCUCACUCACUAUCUAAAAUAUGAAUGAUCCUAUGCAGAGGGCCAGAGAAGAUACAGAAAGAAGCAAACAACUACAAGUCCUCCUGCCCAGACCCAAGAGUGCAGGGGCUAAAGGGAAAAGGAGUAAAGUGGUAAUGAAAGGCUUCAUGGAAGAAGUGAUUUGGAGAUAACGUUUCCUUCCACAGAAGUGCAAUGAGUAGAAAAACUGAGGGACUGGAAAUGAUAUUUCUAGUUUUGUCAUAUGACAUACAUGAAGGAAGAGUACACAGAAACAAGAAAUAUUUGUGUGGGAAAUAAAACGCAAGUUUGCAUGGAUGUGAUUUUUUAAGGUAGAAUGUAACAAUUUCAUAUCCCAUAUUUACAAAUACCACUUUCUCACACUUCCUUAAUCUUACUGACGCAGCCCUUCAAUGAGUAUAAAGCACCAGACAUACAAAGAUGAACAAGACACAUUCUCUAGCCAACGAACUCAUUGUCCUCCACAACCUUUCUGUUCUCCCGUUACCUGAUUAGAUGUAAAUUUCUUAAGAGCAGAGAUUCAUGUUUUCUAUUCCCAAACUGCAUUUUUUAAAAUUAGAGAAGCUGCAUGCAUAAAAUGCAGAAUUCCCAUACACCACCCAAUUAACACCUUGCAUAUGUGUAGUACAUUCAUAAUAAUCAAUAAAAGCACAUUUUUAUCAUUGUACUCCUGCCUAUACCCCAUGGUUUAACUUAGGUUUCGCUGGUUGUGUUGUGCAUUU